ensembl:lncRNA
AUUUAGAUAUGGCCAGAGACCCCAAGGGGAGCCGGGCCCGGCCUGGCCAGAAGCGACAGCACAGCGCUACCCUCUACCACAGUAACUGUGACCUGAACUAUGAGCUGUAUCGGGAAGACUUCCCCUACAGGUUGUAUGAGUAUCAGAGGAUCCCCCCACUUAUCAACCGAGCACCUGUCAAGAGCAGACGGACCCACAUGGGCGCAGGAGGCAAGAGUGGCCUCAGUCCCCACAUUCCUCCACGAAGCAACAACCCACCCCCCGUCCGGACAAAGUUAAGAGCCGAGGAGCUGCACUCAAUCAAGGGGGAGCUGAGCCAGAUCAAGGUCCAGGUGGACAGUCUGCUCGAGAGCCUGGAGCGUAUGGACCAGCGGCGAGACCGGCUGGGAGGGCCCCAAGACGGUGAGAAGAAGGCGGCCUCAGCCAGCGGAGAAUCCCCCAGUGCAGCAGCUGAGGCCCAGCGAGAGCCCCGGGGCAAGGAGAGCCCAGAGCCCAGAGCCCGCAGCCGAAGGGAUGCCGACAGUGCGGAGGAGAGCACGGACACGGAGGAGGCGGGGAGGGUCUGUGCCCUUGGAACUCAUCUCCCACCCCAUAGCUGCUGUAGAGCUGGGGCCAGACCCUUGGCUCCCCAGGCACCUCAGACCUUGUUCCUCCCUGUGCCCUUCCUAGUGUCCCAGCCAGGGCUGAGGAGAUAUGGGGCUGCUCCCUGCCUACCAUCCUCCUGUCCCUACUGCCCCUGGGCCGUUAGCUCCUCAUGGAAAUGCCAUUUCAUCUUAGAAUUGGAGAAGACAAGAAACAGAGGGAGAAAGAAGGGAGCUGCUGAGCACCCUCCCUCAGGGGUUGUGAGGUGUGGCUGGAGCUCCCUGUGACAGCCACACGUGGCGAAUUGUUCACGACUGUGAGCUGAGACACACAAGGGCCAGCCCGUCACAGGAAGGAGGCCAAGGUUGGGGGAAGGGGGUGCUCAGAACCAGGCCUGGAAGAGCUCUCAAUGGAGACCUCAGCCAUUGUCCUUCUGAGCAGUUUGGAGAAAAACAUCAGCUUUUGGGAUCACGCGGUCCUGAGUUAGAAGACACCUUAAGAGAUCAUUUAGUUCAGAUCUCCUCAGUUGAGAAAUGAAGAAACUGAGGUCUUCCUUCCCUCCCUCCCAGCUGGCUCAGUUUGCUCUUUUUUUGCGGGGGGAUGGGGUGGAGAGAGGGGGGAUAAAUUGAACUGAGGUAUUCUUCUUUGGCCCAGCCUGGACACUGAGGUUCUCAGGGGCUCAGCAUGGCAGGCUCAUGAUAGGACAAGGCCUUGGUAUGUGGCUGGACACAGAUCCCCCUCUCCCACCCUGUGUGUUCAGUUUCCUGUGGUUCACCAUUACACUGUGGGCCCUUUGCCCAGUGAACGCUCACAUUACUUGAGACACUUUCAUAGUGACUGCUCAGGAGACCAGUCUCUCCAGAAACUCUGAGUUAGACCCGCGGUAGAUGUUGGGGUCUUCUUGGGAACACGUUUUUAGAAGCCCAUAUCUGACUUGAUUUUUUUUCCACAUAUUUGACUCUAAAUAGGUCCUCUGAACCCUUGACUCAGGUCCUCCAAAACCAGCCAAAAAUGUAACUAAACUUUUUUUGCUUUACAGAUGAAAAAUCACACCUUGGACCCCGAUGGGAGUCAGUAGAAGCUCUGGGGCCCCUGCUGUGGCCUCCCCAGCUCGGAUCCUUUCCUUUUCCUGUGUUUGUAUUUCUUUGAGGCCUCCCAGCCAGUGCCACGUGUCUCCUGCCCUCCAUUCUCCCCGCUGUUACAGUAGAGCCUCGUCUGCUCCUGCCCACGGGAGCCUGCUGGGUGUCCUGCAUUCUCUACAGAACCCGUAGAAGUCCCUGAGGUGCC